rnacentral:tRNA from 1 species
GCAUUGGUGGUGCAGUGAUGGAAUUCUUACCUUCCAGAUGGGAGGCCUGGGUUCAAUUCCUGGCCAAUGCA